rnacentral:lncRNA from 1 species
ACGCUUUGCACAAAGGCGGGAAACGGUCAUCAAAGCUGUUGCGAAGGGAAGAGCCAAUGCAUUAAUUCGAUCCAAGAGGACUCGCCUCGUUGGAUUUGCAGCAACCUAAUCUCUCGCUCAGGAAGAAAACGCCACGAUAAAGAGUUUUCUGUCCUCCUUGUUUGCACGGAGCAGCAAACGCAGAGACAAAAGAAACGGGCCCCGACUGGGGCUCACUCUGUCCCCCAGGCCGGAGUGCAGUGGCGCGACCACAGCCUUCUGCAGCCUCAGCUUCCGUGCUCAAGGGAC